GUUCACGGUGGGAACUGAAGACAUUUUCAUUCCAGCCCAGGAGUUUUCAUCAUUCAGUCUAUUUGCACAGUUCCCUCUGCACAUGCAUGUGACUCGGACACAUAUGCUUUCCCUGUUGCCAAAGGAAGUUUCCAGGUUUGCUUGGUGUGAAUUGAAGUCAUUUUCCUGAAGUGUUUCCAGUGAUAUGCACAACAAGUGAUGUCCAUAUGAAGAGAGAGGCCAUCCUCAGAGCUCUUUGUAUCUACCUUGGUGAGGAUGAGAGAUCCCUGGUGAAGGAAUACAUGGU